UACGGAGGGGGCAAGCGUUGUUCGGAAUCAUUGGGCGUAAGGGCUCGUAGGUGGUUUUGUGUGUCUACCGUUAAAGCAUACGGCUCAACCGUGUUCCGUCGGUAGAAACUGCAGAACUUGAGGCUGGGAGGGGCUGGUGGAAUUCCCUGUGUAGCGGUGAAAUGCGUAGAGAUGGGGGAGAACACUCGUGGCGAAGGCGGCCAGCUAGACCAGCUCUGACACUGAGGCGCGACAGCGUGGGGAGCAAACAGG
rnacentral:rRNA from 1 species